rnacentral:sRNA from 1 species
CCCUUUGCAGAUCCCCUUGACCACACCCUCAUUCUCAGCUGGUGCUCAUGAAGGACAGAAGAGUCAAUGUCAGUACAAUGUCCUAGUCAUGCCCAGCCUCAGAACUCGCCGUGAGGAGGCAGAGAUGGAACUCUCAGCUCCAGGACCAUCCCCUUGGACCCCUGCAGCCCAGGCCCAUGUGAAUGAUGCUCCUGCUGUGACCCACCCUGGAUCUGCAGCCUGUGGUACCCCCUGCUGUAGUGAUACUGAGCUGGAAGCCAUCUGCCCUCACUAUCAGCAGCCAGAUUGUGACACCAGGACUGAAGACAAGGAGUUUCUUCACAAGGAAGACAUUCAUGAAGAUUUGGAAUCACAGGCAGAAAUAUCAGAAAACUAUGCUGGUGAUGUUUCCCAGGUACCUGAGCUUGGAGAUCUGUGUGAUGAUGUAUCAGAAAGAGACUGGGGAGUUCCUGAAGGCAGGAGGCUGCCACAAUCCCUCUCCCAAGAGGGGGACUUCACACCAGCUGCCAUGGGGCUCCUUAUGGGCCCCUUAGAGGAGAAAGAUCUGGACUGUAAUGGUUUCGACAGUCACUUCAGUCUGAGCCCAAACCUGAUGGCAUGUCAGGAAAUCCCUACAGAAGAGAGACCACAUCUGUAUGACAUGGGGGGCCAGAGUUUCCAGCACAGCAUGGACCUAACUGGUCUUGAGGGGGUUCCCACAGCUGAUAGUCCACUCAUAUGUAAUGAGUGUG